GCCUACGGGGCGCAGCAGUGAGGAAUAUUGGUCAAUGGGCGCGAGCCUGAACCAGCCAAGUCGCGUGAGGGAAGACGGUCCUAUGGAUUGUAAACCUCUUUUGUCGGGGAGCAAAAGACGCCACGUGUGGCGUUCCGAGAGUACCCGAAGAAAAAGCAUCGGCUAACUCCGUGCCAGCAGCCGCGGUAAUACGGAGGAUGCGAGCGUUAUCCCGAUUUAUUGGGUUUAAAGGGUGCGCAGGCGGAAGAUCAAGUCAGCGGUAAAAUUGAGAGUCCCAACCUCUCCGAGCCGUUGAAACUGGUUUU
rnacentral:rRNA from 1 species